rnacentral:sRNA from 1 species
GUUUAGCCCAGAUAGCAACGACAUCCUUUUUUAAUUUUUGUGAUAAAAUAAGCCAUCCGUUUUUGUAAAAAGAUGGCUUAGCAAAUGUGCUUUUCGUUUGAAUAAAGUAUUAAAAAAGAUAUAGUGGAUAGCUGGAAAUAGC